UACGUAGGUGGCAAGCGUUGUCCGGAUUUAUUGGGUUUAAAGGGUGCGUAGGCGGCCCUGUAAGUCAGUGCUGAAAUAUCCCAGCUUAACUGGGAGGGCGGCAUUGAUACUGCGGGGCUAGAGUACAGAUGAGGUAGGCGGAAUUGACGGUGUAGCGGUGAAAUGCUUAGAUAUCGUCAAGAACACCUAUAGCGAAGGCAGCUUACUAGGCUGUAACUGACGCUGAGGCACGAAAGUGUGGGGAUCAAACAGG
rnacentral:rRNA from 1 species